rnacentral:tRNA from 3 species
GGACGGAUGGCGGAACCGGUAGACGCGUACGCCUUAGGAGCGUAUGGAGCAAUCCGUGAGGGUUCAAGUCCCUCUCCGUCCA